GCCCCCGUUGUCUAAUGGUUAUGACGUCAGACUUCUAAUCUGGAGGUUGCGGGUUCGAGUCCCGCCGGGGUUA